rnacentral:rRNA from 1 species
AGCGAACGCUGGCGGCAGGCUUAACACAUGCAAGUCGAACGGACCCUUCGGGGUUAGUGGCGGACGGGUGAGUAACACGUGGGAACGUGCCUUUAGGUUCGGAACAACACAGGGAAACUUGUGCUAAUACCGGAUGUGCCCUUCGGGGGAAAGAUUUAUCGCCUUUAGAGCGGCCCGCGUCUGAUUAGCUAGUUGGUGGGGUAAAGGCCUACCAAGGCGACGAUCAGUAGCUGGUCUGAGAGGAUGGCCAGCCACAUUGGGACUGAGACACGGCCCAAACUCCUACGGGAGGCAGCAGUGGGGAACCUUGCGCAAUGGGCGAAAGCCUGACGCAGCCAUGCCGCGUGGAUGAUGAAGGUCUUAGGAUUGUAAAAUCCUUUCACCGGGGACGAUAAUGACGGUACCCGGAGAAGAAGCCCCGGCUAACUUCGUGCCAGCCGCCGCAGUAA